rnacentral:rRNA from 1 species
UGAGGAAUUUUGCGCAAUGGGAGCAAUCCUGACGCAGCAACGCCGCGUGGGUGAUGAAGGCCUUCGGGUCGUAAAGCCUGUCAGGUGGGAAGAAUGUCCCCGGACUGAACAGGUUCCGGGAGUGACGGUACCACCAGAGGAAGCACCGGCUAACUCCGUGCCAGCAGCCGCGGUAAUACGGAGGGUGCAAGCGUUAUUCGGAAUUACUGGGCGUAAAGCGCGUGUAGGCGGUCCCGCAAGUCUGAUGUGAAAGCCCCGGGCUUAACCCGGGAAGUGCAUUGGAAACUGUGGGACUUGAGUACUGGAGAGGAUGGGGGAAUUCCCGGUGUAGAGGUGAAAUUCGUAGAGAUCGGGAGGAAUAUCAGUGGCGAAGGCGCCCAUCUGGACGGUAACUGACGCUGAGACGCGAAAGCGUGGGGAGCAAACA